rnacentral:rRNA from 1 species
UACGUAGGCAGCGAGCGUUGUUCGGAGUUACUGGGCGUAAAGAGUGCGUAGGCGGUUUUCUAAGUUUGGUGUGAAAUCUCCCGGCUUAACUGGGAGGGUGCGCCGAAGACUGGAAGGCUUGAGUAUGGGAGAGGUAAGCGGAAUUCCUGGGUAGCGGUGAAAUGCGUAGAUAUCAGGAGGAACACCUGCGGUGUAGACGGCUUACUGGACCAUAACUGACGCUGAGGCACGAAAGCGUGGGUAGCAAACAGG